GUGGGACCAUUAACCUGGCGACCCCAACACUUCGCGCCACUUGCUCCCCUAACCCAGGUGAGCACAGGCGCCUCCUGACUCACAACUUGUCGACUCAACUGACGUGACCUUGACGGCUACUCUCCAGGGCAUCGCGUGUUUCAGGAGCUGGGAGCAAGACGCACCAAGACACUGACGACUACCCGCUACAGUUCAUGAACAUCACUUUUUUUAUAAAUAGUUUAAAAUAAAUGUAGGAAGAAAAGCUUAAAACCUGGAAGAAAUUUUUACAUGUCAAAUGUUUAAUCAAUUUAUUUUGCAGUUUUAAUCAUAAUAGUAUCUAUUAUUUAUUCAUGGAUACAAUUGGCCUGAUCACUUAAUACCACCAGAAUCUCUCUGACUACAAGGGGCAGAGAGGUGGCAGCUAUUUUUCAAUUCCAAUUUGCAAAGGAUUUGACAGUGAUUGCCAUAGCAAUGCAAGAUAUCAUUAAACAUGUCCGUUUAUACGAUCUGUACAUACUUGGGCAUAAUGAAGCUACAUUUGUCGUGUUAUAGGAUAAAAACUCUGAUCACGUAAAUGAUUAUACUGCAAGUAUGAACAGUACAGCAAAGUACCUGUGACAUUAUCGUUAACUCACUUAAAAAUCGGUAAUAUUGCAGGACCUUUGCUAUACUGUUCAUACUUACUUGCAGAACAAUCAUUAACGUAAUGAGGGUUUUUAUCUUAUAACAUGAUAAGAAUAAUUUCAUGUUAUAUGGGCAAGUUUUUU